rfam:Gossypium arboreum cultivar AKA8401 contig_75355_3, whole genome shotgun sequence.
AACCCUUGGUGAAGGCAUAUUUGCAAAAGAUCAUUGUAUCUCUCCCAUGCAUCAUAGAGUGUUUCUAGAUCCAUCUACACAAAAGAGGAGAUAUCAUCAUAUAAUUU